rnacentral:rRNA from 1 species
UCUGACUCAUGCUGGCUUAUCAAAGCCUUAUCUCAGCAGAUCUCAGAAGCUAAGCAGGCUUGGGCCUGGUUGGUACUUGGAUGGGAGGUCGCUGUGAUACCAGGUGCCACAGUGGGGC